UCGGAGAAGCGGGUAGCUGAG
rnacentral:misc_RNA from 1 species